rnacentral:rRNA from 1 species
AGAGUUUGAUCCUGGCUCAGAAUCAACGCUGGCGGCGUGCCUAACACAUGCAAGUCGAACGAGAAAGUGGAGCAAUCCAUGAGUAAAAGUGGCGCACGGGUGAGUAACACGUGACUAACCUACCCUUGAGUGGGGGGAUAACCUGGGGAAACCUUGGCUAAUACCGCAUAACACCUACGGGUCAAAGGAGCAAUUCGCUUAAGGAGGGGGUCGCGGCAGAUUAGUUAGUUGGCGGGGUAAUGGCCCACCAAGACAGUGAUCUGUAUCCGGCCUGAGAGGGCGCACGGACACACUGGAACUGAAACACGGUCCAGACUCCUACGGGAGGCAGCAGUGGGGAAUUUUGCGCAAUGGGGGAAACCCUGACGCAGCAACGCCGCGUGGAGGAUGAAGUCCCUUGGGACGUAAACUCCUUUCGACCGGGACGAUUAUGACGGUACCGGAAGAAGAAGCCCCGGCUAACUUCGUGCCAGCAGCCGCGGUAAUACGAGGGGGGCGAGCGUUGUUCGGAAUUAUUGGGCGUAAAGGGUGCGUAGGCGGUUCGGUAAGUUUUGUGUGAAAUCUUCGGGCUCAACUCGAAGCCUGCACAAAAUACUGCCGGGCUUGAGUGUGGGAGAGGUGAGUGGAAUUUCCGGUGUAGCGGUGAAAUGCGUAGAUAUCGGAAGGAACACCUGUGGCGAAAGCGGCUCACUGGACCACAACUGACGCUGAUGCACGAAAGCUAGGGGAGCAAACAGGAUUAGAUACCCUAGUAGUCC